rnacentral:snRNA from 8 species
AUCGCUUCUCGGCCUUUUGGCUCAGAUCAAGUGUAGUAUCUGUUCUUAUCAGUUUAAUAUCUGAUACAAAAGGUCGAAGGAAGGCAGGAGGGAGGAAAGUUUGUUAUUUUGGUUUUUUGUAUUCACGAUUGGUUUAUUUUGCCGCUCUUUUUCAGUUUUUUCUGUUUUGAAGAGAGCGAGAGCUG